GGUACAAUCGUUCAGUUUCACAAUUUUAAGAUUUUUCUGUAAUCAGAACUACUUCGUACGUUUUAAAUAGUAGUCGCGCUUUAAUUGCAAACAAUUUAAUCGCAUCGCGGUUACUAUUAAAGUUUCGUUUAUAACAAAAACGACAAUUCCAAAAGACUAGUCGUGUACUGAUCUUCAUUGCUGCCAUUUCACCCGCCUAUUCUGGAUUUCUUUCAUACGUCUCUUGACCAGCUUCAAAUCCCUAGUAAUAAAGUUACUCUAUGAUGUCGGUCCUCCGGCAGAUAGUCUGCUGGGAAUUUAUUGUUUCCAAAAUAAGCAGUAAAGAAUAGUAACGGGAAGAAGCGGUCAGGACGAAAGGGUGCCGGAGAGGGUGUUAUUGUUUCUCAUAUUUUUACCAGUCACGCCAAGUUUUUCUCUCGUUUGCUAGGCAAUGGACGAUGAACCUAUUGACGCGACCAUCAACUCAAGUCACGGCAAGUGUCGGACAACACCGAACGGACAAGCUGUGGUUACGUCGUCCGCUUCUUCAGGGCACACUUCACACCACGUCUCAGGGGGAGCAGGCAGCGGUGCCUUGACGCUACCGCCAUCUGCUAUCGUGACAACGACGGCGGCGGCACUAGCGGCCGCCGCCGCUGCUGGUCAGUUGUCGCUGAAUCAGGUACUUACUCAAACUUCCUUCAAAAAUACCUCAUCCUGCGAGUGAAACUCAAGCGCUCUUAAAAAGUUUGACC
rnacentral:lncRNA from 1 species